GACAGAGGGUGCAAACGUUGUUCGGAAUUACUGGGCGUAAAGCGUGUGUAGGCGGCCGUGCAAGUCGGAUGUGAAAGCCCCAGGCUUAACCUGGGAAGUGCACCCGAAACUGCUCGGCUAGAGUAUCGGAGAGGUUGGUGGAAUUCUCGGUGUAGAGGUGAAAUUCGUAGAUAUCGAGAGGAACACCGGUGGCGAAGGCGGCCAACUGGACGAAUACUGACGCUGAGACACGAAAGCGUGGGGAG
rnacentral:rRNA from 1 species